GUGGCUGUAGCUCAGUCGGUUAGAGCACCGGAUUGUGAUUCCGGGGGUCGUGGGUUCAAGUCCCAUCAGCCACCCCA
rnacentral:tRNA from 1 species